UCCUGAGAGAAAUUCGCGCCCUUCAGUCAACCAGCGCGCGCGCGGUCUCCAGGGCAACGGUGCGUUUGGCAACCGCUGUAAACAACGCGUCCUGCCACACUGAGCGAACAAAACAGCUAAAGUCAUGGCUUUCUGCAACACCGAGUAUUUCGACCAGAUUGGGGAUAUUCAGAAGAGCAUGCACGAACGUGAGAGGAGGAGACAUGAGCUGGAAGAAAUAUUGCUUGAUUACUUAAAAUCAGAGGAAAGAUUGACUAAGUUGAAGUGUGCC